AGAUGCCAGUGAGGUCCCUCCCUUUACUGUAGAUGCCAGUGUGACCCUUCCCUUCACUGUAGAUGCCAGCGAGGUCCCUCCAUUCACUGUAGAUGCCAGCGAGGUCCCUCCAUUCACUGUAGAUGCCAGCGAGGUCCCUCCCUUUACUGUAGAUGCCAGCAAGGUCCCUCCCUUCACUGUAGAUGCCAGCAUGGCCCUUCCCUUCACUGUAGAUGCCAGCGAGGUCCUUCUGUCUGCUCAGACGUCUUUGACUCCCUCUUAUGCACAUCCCACAGAUGACUCUCAGCACAUCCCAUCACCUUCACCUUUGAGGUUUAUCCAGGAUCUGACAAGUCCCAGCAUCCCAGCUGCUGCCCUCUGGCCUGGCCUCCUGCUCCCCAACCCCAGGCAUCUUCCCCUUCUCCACAUGCGGUUGGCGCAAGCCAGGGGGGAAUCAGAGCCCCCCUACAGACUCGAAGUUCAUGCGGGAGAUGGCAGGGGCCUGGCACAUGACGGUGGAGCAGAAAUUUGGCCUGUUUUCUGCUGAGAUAAAGGA
rnacentral:lncRNA from 1 species